rnacentral:rRNA from 1 species
GAUGAACGCUAGCGACAGGCUUAACACAUGCAGGUCGAGGGGCAGCAUAGAAGUAGCAAUACUUUGGUGGCGACCGGCGCACGGGUGAGUAACGCGUAUGCAACCUACCUAUCAGAGGGGGAUAACCCGGCGAAAGUCGGACUAAUACCGCAUAAAACAGGGGCACCGCAUGGUGAUAUUUGUUAAAGAUUAAUUGCUGAUAGAUGGGCAUGCGUUCCAUUAGGUAGUUGGUGAGGUAAUGGCUCACCAGGCCGACGAUGGAUAGGGGAACUGAGAGGUUCGUCGCCCACACUGGUACUGAGUCAAGGACCAGAAUCCUACGGUAGGCAGCAGUGAGGAAUAUUGGUCAAUGGGCGAGAGCCUGAACCAGCCAAGUCGCGUGAAGGAAGAAGGAUCUAUGGUUCGUAAACUUCUUUUGCAGGGGAAUAAAGUGGAGGACGUGUCCUCUUUUGUAUGUACCCUGAGAAUAAGGAUCGGCUAACUCCGUGCCAGCAGCCGCGGUAAUAC